GUGGGGAAUCUUGCGCAAUGGGCGAAAGCCUGACGCAGCCAUGCCGCGUGAAUGAUGAAGGUCUUAGGAUUGUAAAAUUCUUUCACCGGGGACGAUAAUGACGGUACCCGGAGAAGAAGCCCCGGCUAACUUCGUGCCAGCAGCCGCGGUAAUACGAAGGGGGCUAGCGUUGCUCGGAAUUACUGGGCGUAAAGGGCGCGUAGGCGGACAGUUUAGUCAGAGGUGAAAGCCCAGGGCUCAACCUCGGAAUCGCCUUUGAUACUGGCUGUCUUGAGUGUGGGAGCGGUGAGUGGAACUGCGAGUGUAGAGGUGAAAUUCGUAGCUAUUCGGAAGAACACCAGUGGGGGAGGCGACUCACUGGCCGAAGACGGACGCUGAGGCGCGAAAGCGGGGGGAGCAAACAGGAUUAGAUACCCCUGUAGUCC
rnacentral:rRNA from 1 species